UAAAUACAACCCUAUGCGGUGGAUCACUUGGCUCGCGAGUCGAUGAAGAGCGCAGCAAGCUGCGUGAAUUAAUGUGAUUUGCAGGACACAUUGAUCAUCGAUAUCUUGAACGCAUAUUGCGGUUAUGGAUCGCUUCCAUGACCACGCCUGUCUGAGGGUCGGUAUU
rnacentral:rRNA from 1 species